AGCCUUGUGCACGGGCAGUACAUCUCCAAUGAUGCCUAGCAGACGGAGAUGUUAUUGCUAAUUGAAAACUGAUACCAAUUUCCCGCACGGUGGUGGUGAAAUACCCACUGCCGAUGCAAUUUUUGGAUGCCCGCAAGGGC
rfam:Ramazzottius varieornatus DNA, contig: Scaffold010, strain: YOKOZTNA-1.